GGACGUUUGGCCGAGCGGUUAAGGGUAAAUAUUAAUCCAUGUCCCGGGGAAUACCAACGUUAGGUUGCAGUCACUAAUGAGAAAUUUCUUCCCAUCAGCGCCGUCUUAAGGUUCACUACUCUGGUUCUCCCAGAGUUCUUCCUCGGCGGUUCGAAAGAGCGCAGGUUCGAAUCCUGCAGCGUUCA
rnacentral:tRNA from 1 species